AAACGUGCUCGUACGGUUCAAAGAAGGGUAUGGUCAAAUCAACAAAAUCAUCAAAAAGGGGUGGUGACAAAUGUCAAAUGAGACCCUUGUGACUCAAAGCGUGAACGAAAAGAACCGGUUUCGUUUCGUCACCCACUGAAAUCGUUACCAAACCGCUAAAAAGUACUUCAACGAAGCAUAACUAUUUCGCCACUAAAUGCAAUAAAAAAUCAUCUUCUUCUACAGAGAAAAGAUAAAGAAGAACAAGAAGAAGAAAGAUCCACAUUCACAUUCACAUUCACAGCUAGCAAUGGUUGACGACAGGUUUUAGGGUUUUGACAAUCACCACCACAUCGUCCAUGGAAAUGCCCGCACGAAGAUCCAACUACUCACUCGUCAGUCAAAUUCCCGACGACCACUUCGCCGGUACGCCACCACUCAUCGAUUCUUCCUCCGGCGACGGCAAAACCAAGUUCGACAGGGCCGCCUUUGACUGGGACUCCCUCUCCGAUCACAGGCGGAUCGGGAACAUCUUCCCCUCGCUCGGCCUUCAGCGCCACUCCAGCGGGAGUAGUUUCGGCGAGAGCUCUCUCUCCGGCGAGUUUUACGCUCCGACGCUUUCAACCGCUGCUGCCAGCGAGAUCGACGCGUUUGCCUACGCGCACGAUGGUGCUGUUGGUGGGAGUGAGGUCAGAGCCAAGUUUCUGGCGAGGAUCGGUGGGUCCUAUGGUAGGAGCUGGGCGCAGCAGACGGAGGAGAGUUACCAGUUGCAGCUGGCUUUAGCGCUUCGGCUUUCGUCGGAGGCUACGCGUGCCGGUGAUCCCAAUUUUCUUGAUCCUGGUCCGGAUGAAUCCGCUUUGAGGUCAUCGCCGUUGUGCACGGCUGAGGCAGUGUCGCAUAGGUUCUGGGUCAACGGCUGCCUAUUAUACUUCGACAAAAUUCCUGAUGGCUUUUAUGUAAUUCAUGGGAUGGAUCCCUAUGUAUGGACCGUGUGCGCUGAUGUGCAGGAAAGUGGCCGAAUUCCAUCAAUUGAGACACUAAAAUCAAUAAAUCCCUCUUAUGGUUCUUCAGUUGAAGUAGUUUUGGUGGACAGACAUAGUGAUUCAAGCUUAAAAGACCUCCAAAAUAGGGUACAUAACAUUUCUUUUACCUGCAGAACCGCCGAAGAAGUUGUAGAACAUCUUGCCAAGCUGGUUUGCAAUUACAUGGGGGGUUCAGCUUCUGUUGGGGAAGAUGGCAUUUUUCCCAUAUGGAGAGAGUGCAUUAAUGAUCUCAAAGAUUGCUUAGGAUCUGUUGCAGUCCCAAUCGGCAGUCUAUCUAUUGGACUAUGCAGUCAUCGUGCUAUACUAUUCAAAGUACUAGCUGAUACCAUUGAUCUACCAUGUCGAAUUGCGAAGGGUUGUAAAUAUUGCUCAAGAGACGAUGCCUCCUCAUGUCUUGUUCGAUUUGGGCUUGACAAGGAAUAUAUGGUUGAUCUAGUUGGGAAGCCGGGUUGCUUAUGUGAGCCUGAUUCCUUGCUCAAUGGUCCAUCUUCCAUCUCAUUUUCUUCACCCUUGCGCUUUCCAAGAAUUAAGCCCGUUGGACCUACCAUUGAUUUCAGGUCACUGGCCAAACAGUAUUUCUCAGAUUGUCUGUCUCUUGAGCUUGUCUUUGAUACUGCUUCUGCAGAACAAUAUGAUGGGAAGUGCAGGGACAGGACCCCUGGGCCAAUUCCAAAUAAUAGUGGCAGAAGUUCACUGCAUCCACAAGAUAAUCAUUCAAGCCCACAUGAUCAAGGCGCUGAAACAUUUAAAUCAGGGGGCCUUCCUCAGAACAUCGUUGAACAGACAACUGUGGGCAAGGAUCUCUUGCCUCUAAAGCAUAACCGUCCUGUUCAUAGAGAUAUUAAAAUCCCAUUAGCGCAAACAAAUAUCCAUGUGGAUAUUAUUGGGGGUGGAAGGUAUAUUGAAGGAAGUCAACUGAUUCCUAGCAUACCUAUUAGAGAGUUUACCUUUGAUAUGGAAGAUCUGGACAUACCUUGGAGUGAUCUUGUGUUAAAAGAAAGAAUAGGAUCAGGUUCUUUUGGAACUGUACAUCAUGCUGACUGGAAUGGCUCGGAGGUUGCUGUGAAAAUUCUGAUGGAGCAAGACCUUUUUGCUGAACGCUUCAAUGAAUUCUUGAGGGAGGUUGCAAUAAUGAAAUGCUUGCGGCAUCCAAACAUUGUUUUAUUCAUGGGUGCAGUCACUAAGCCUCCUAAUUUAUCAAUUGUCACAGAAUAUUUGUCAAGGGGUAGCUUAUAUAGGCUGUUGCAUAAACCUGGCGCAAAAGAGAUGUUGGAUGAGAGGCGUAGGCUUAACAUGGCUUUUGAUGUGGCUAAAGGGAUGAAUUAUCUUCAUAAACAUAAUCCUCCCAUUGUUCAUAGAGAUCUGAAAUCUCCAAACCUUCUUGUUGACAAGAAAUUUACUGUCAAGGUUUGUGAUUUUGGGCUUUCUCGACUAAAAGCAAAUACAUUUCUCUCAUCCAAGUCAGCUGCUGGAACUCCUGAGUGGAUGGCUCCAGAAGUUCUUCGCGAUGAGCCAUCCAAUGAGAAGUCAGAUGUCUACAGCUUUGGCGUUAUCUUGUGGGAGAUUGCGACAUUGAAACAGCCAUGGGGUAAUUUGAAUCCAGCUCAGGUUGUGGCGGCUGUUGGCUUUAAGGGAAAAAGACUCGAUAUACCUCAUGAUUUGAAUCCCCAAUUAGCCUCAAUAAUUGAGGUCUGCUGGGCCGACGAGCCUUGGAAACGCCCUUCUUUUUCAAGUAUUAUGGAUACUUUGAAAGAAUUGCUCAAACCCCCAAUACCUCAACAUAGUCAUCCAAGCACGCUAUUACUUAACUGAUUGGAGUGCCUAUCAAAAAAAACCUUAACUGAUUGGAGUCCUAGCUGUUAUUCCUGCACAUAUUACAAGGUUUUAUUAGUUUUGACGUCUAACAGGAAUACACUGUUUUUAGUAGUCCCAGAGGCACUGUUGUAUAUUUAAUUCGGAUAGAGGAUACUAUUUUCCACAGAAAGCAAGGAUACUCCCUCUGUAUUCCAACAGAAUAUUGUUUGAUUAGGGUUGUCCAUGGCGACCAAGGUGCCAUAUUCGAAGGUCGGAGAAGGUCCAUGCAUCUGAAGCGAAACAUUACCUUCGACCGUUUGAAGAAGAAAAUCCACGAAAGGUUGAAGCUGCAAAGGAACCAGAUGAUUUCUAGAGUCAGCUCUAGAUUUAUGACGACACCGAAUCCCAUUUUUUUUACGCAUUUUGAGAUAGUUGAUAAUGUUGAUGUUCAAGUCAUGAUGGAUGCAUUUAGUCAGCAGUCAUAUAUGGUUCAGCUAGAGCAGUAUGUUGAAGUUACUGAAGCUGGAAGUUCAUCAAUGUCAGUGCCGACGUAUCUGUCGUCUACUCAACCGAGACCCACUGAAGACGGUGGUAGACAUGUUGUUGAUGAGGAGCUUCUUGCAGAACCAUAUACUGUGCCUUUUAGCGUUAUGAGUAUUGAAGAGACCAAUAUCGUCGUUCCUUCGGAUGUCGCAGUUAAUUUGGGCGAUGAUUAUGACUACCGCCUUGACAAUGAUAAUGUGGACGGUGAAGUCAUUCCUUCAGACGAUGACCACAAUGAAGAUGAAAGAAUGCAAGAAGGAGGUGACGAGUCUGACACAGACGAUGAGGGAGACCGACACGCUAAUCCUCAGCCUCGGAUGGCACCUCAUCCUGCUGAUCAACCUGCGGCACCAGUGAAUGUCAAUGUUGAAACUCAAGGUAUGUACAAUCAACAUAUCUCAUCAAGCGUUGUUUUUUAUAAAUAUAUGGUACUUGAUAUAUUUCUAUAAUUUUAUAGGCCACCCAAACACGGCCCCAUUCUGGAGUGCUUCUUCGCAUUAUACAUAUAUUAACUGGGAUCACCCAGAUGAAGAAACUGAUUUUUAUUCUGAAACGGAUGUGAAUGGAUCAUGGAAGCUAGGUGAUGACUUAUGUAAAGGGUUGAUUUUUGAAAACAAGCGUGCUGUACAGGAUGCCUUGUUACACUAUUGUUUUAGACUAAAUCAAACUUAUAAGAUGAGUGAAUCCAAGCCAGAGUACUUUACUGCAAAGUGUCAGAAAUCCGUAGAUGGCUGCCCGUGGAGGAUAAGGGCACAUCUAUCCAAGAAAAUUGGUAAAUGGAUCAUAUCCAAAUGGGGGGUUCGCAUACGUGCUUAAAUGCGAUGACUUCUCAAGACCACAAGAAGAUGACGUCCACCUUCAUGUGACGAUUGCCCAGUCUCACAUUGUGCGGACGUAUAGCAUAGAUAGGUCCAGGUUCGAAGUAGAGGAGGGAUUCAACCAGCAGAACCAUCGCAGUGGUUAUACGUGGCGACUGAACUUAGAUGAAAGAACUUGCGAAUGUGGGCGCUUCCAGACGUUCAAAUAUCCUUGUUCACAUGUGAUCGCCGCGUGCGCCAACCAGAGUUUAGACUAUCUUCAAUAUGUGGACCCUGUUUAUACGAUUCAGAACAUUGUGGAUGCGUAUUCAGGACAGUGGUACCCCAUUGGGAAUGAUCUGAACAUGCCGCCCAGAGCUGGGCCUAGAAUUGCUCCAGAUCCUGCCAAAAUACGGAAGAAGGGUCGUCCAAGGUCUACCCGUAUAAGAAAUGAGAUGGACUUAAGGGAGAAUCAAUCUCAGCCGAGUCGGAGAUCAGUGUCACUACAAAGAUAAUUAUGUUGCUUUAAUUGUGCAAGCUCUUAAAUUAAUCACUGUGUGUAAGCUUGAAGUGUAGUCCAAAUGCAUGUGAGAAAUAAUUAUGUUAGAGCUUAAACAUUGGCUCAUUACUAUUGUUUCUAACUUAAUAUGAAUUGGAUGCUAGUACAUAUCAAAACAAGAAAGAAAGAAUUUAAUAGUAUAGUAUUAUUAUAUACUCGUAUACUAUAUACAUAUAUAUAUAAACUAAAAGUUUAAUGUAUAAACUAAUUUUUUAUUAUAAACUAUAUAAUACUCGUAUAUAUAUAAAAACUAUAUAUAUUAUAUAUAUAUAAACUAUAUAUAUUAUAUAUAUAUAUAUAUAUAUAUAAACCCAAACUUAAAAGUCUAAAAUAUAUUACACACCAACUUUAAAUUCACUAAUUAUAAGUAAAUGAUACAACAAAUUAACAAUUUCGACAAUUAGGAUAAGGACGGUCUCUUGCAUCCCGGUAUGGCCUAUCUGGGUCUCCCCCUGCAGCUGCACGGUUCAAGUCCAGUUGGAAGUUAGCCUGUGUCUGCUGGAGCUGCGAAGGGUCUAUAUCUUGCCAGAAUUGCGGUCGAGGAGGAUCCAGCAAUUCACGAAUUGCAACACCAUCCCAGUCACCCAUUGGAUUCCAAGUAUCUGGACUAACGUCCUGCAUAUGCACUGGCGGUGUCUGAAAGUUGUCAUAGCCAUGUUGUGACCCGGCAAAUGACUGUUCACCAACAAAAUUUGUUGAUGACACAAAUUGUUGAGAGUGUGAUCCAUCAAAAGGCGGUGCCGGCACAUAUGGCUGAGAUUGUGAACUGUCAAAAUGCGGUGUUGGUAUAUAUGGCUGAGACAUGGAUCCAUCAAAUUGUGCCGAGGGAGUAUAUGGCUGAGAUCCAUACAUUGUUUGAGUCUCGGGCAUCUGCAUCGCUGUCUCUUCCUGAUCAUCAUGAACCCCAGAUGACCCCGCCCCAUAAUAGUAUGGUCGGUAUGUCUCAUUCAGAUCAAGGGGGUACAAUGAGUACUGUCCAUGUGGAGGUGGUAGUGUUCCCCCCUGAAUAAUAACAUGUUCGGGAAUCUGAGAUUCUCGCCGUCUUCCAAGACCUUCCCCUUCUUCUUUUCCAGUCGGCGGUAUGUCAUUUGUGGUUGCGUGUGUAAACUCCAUAGGAAAGCUAGGAACCGAUGCAGCGGGAUGAGAUAUCCUGUCACUUGCAUGGCAAAGUGUAAGGCAACGAGCAGCUUGGUUCUGAAGGUCAUGAUCCGUGUAUAGUGGGCGACCUUCAGGUGUCAGUCCAUACCAUACAUGCUGAACGCGCAUAGCCUACAUUAUUAAUAACAGAGUGAGGAUGUUACGCACAUAUAUGAAUACAGAAGUAAAAAUAACACAACAAUUUAAAAAUAAUAACCAUUUGCCCCCUUGUUGCAGCCGCACGCGUCAACCAACGAACGGAAUACUUGUCGUACCAAAUCAUGUACUCAUCAUUUGGCCCAACAAGAGUAUUAGUCUCGGGUUGGUUAGCCAACCUCUGGUGCCUCUCCGACCACAGCUGUAUAAAACCACGCAUGUUAUGUACCCAAUCCUGCUUUUCCUUCCCUUUUAGAGAAAUAUCAUGCAUUUCAUUAAGUUGAGACGGUGCAUCCGGUACAGGUUGAAACAUCCCGAAUUGUUGCAUAACUCGAUCCGGUUGAUGCCACUCUGAAAUGUGAUAGAGUACCAUUGGCACCACAGUUCUCCAUAAAUGCAUGUUUUCUCGACAACGUUCCGGAAGCCCAUUGAGAACACGAUCAGAGUACGGCUUCCACACAAACUACAUACACAAGAAGGAUAAGAAUUUAAAUGAAAAUAAAGAUAAGCAAAGUCCGACAAGCUACUCACGUCAUUAGAACUCAAAUCGUCUAGUUUGGUGCGCCACCACUCGAUUUGCUUCUUUGCCCACUUUAUUGGUUUUUCCGGAUCCGGGUCCCUCCAUCUGUUUAAUAUAUAAAAAAUGAAUGAACCGUAAUGUUUGAAUUUAAGGACAUGAAAUUAACAACGAAAUUUAUUAUUUAAAUUAUGUGCAUACCUUGCCGCGAGUGGGAGGCCACGGUGCAACCUCGGUGGAUCCGGGCCGAUUCCUGGAAUCCUUAGCCAUGCCCACACUUGUAUCAAAUAAGCACAGCCGCCAAUCUCUGUACGUGAAGCACCAGUUGCAUAACACAACUCAUGAUAGAGAAGUGCUAGUACGGCUGAACCCCAACUAUACUUUGCGGUCUCCUCAAAGUCUCGUAAGAGAAUGAGAUAUCUAAGAGGGACAUGUGAACCGGUGUGGUCACAAAGUAAGAAAGUACCAAUUAGUCGCAAGAUGAAUGCUCUUGCAGCAUACAUAAGUUGUAUCGGGUCGGCACCGGCUAGAUUAUGAAAAUUAAAUUGCUCAGCCAGCCAAACCAACUUCAAGCCACCUCCUUUGAUAGCACUGGCGGGUGGCACCACUCCGAGCAAGUCCUCUACAAGCUCAGACCAAUCACACCAAGUAACUCCGGUGACAGGAUUCCCAUCAAUGGGUAAGCCAAGAUGAACAGCAACAUCUUGCAGAGUGAUAGUACACUCUCCGAACGGCAUAUGAAACGUGUGUGUCUCAGGCCUCCAUCGCUCCACCAUAGCUGAUAUUAAAACUUUGUCAAGUUUCAGAGACCCAGCUAAGGCAGCUUCGUAAAAUCCGGCUUGACGAAGGUGGCCUACAAUUUCAGCGGGAAUAAAAUCUCGAAAAUCCCGAUAUUUUCUCACUUUCAGAAUUCUAUUUAUUUGGUUCCACGCACCAACAGACACAUGUUUGCCAUCUUUUUGCAAAUACAACACACUAUCAUUCCUCGGACCCAAUUUGACCACUUCUUGGUCGGCCAUUUACAAUACCUAUUGAACAUAAUGAAUAAAAGAUGAUAGUUAAUAAAAUUUAAUGAUAAUAAUUCUAAAAUAAUUUAAUAAAACUUAAUGAUAAUAAUUCUAAAAUAAUUUAAGUAACAAAACUUAAUGAUAAUAAUUCUAAAAUAAUUUAAGUAACAAAACUUAAUGCUAAUAAUUAAUAAAAGUUAUACAAUAUAGUUAGUAAUAAUAAUCAAGUCACAUAUGAAAACUAGUCAUUUACUUAUAUCAUUAUUAACAAAACCAUUAAAAAAAUAUUUCAAAGUAAAGGUUGAAAGAGUAGAGAAAAUACCUUUAUUUUGAGGGGGGAGAGUUCAAAGAAAUUAACACGUUGAGAGUUGAGAGAAAAUUGGUCGAGAGUUGGGAGAAAGUUGUGAGAGUUAAGAGAUUUGGGAGUUGGAGUUGAGGGAGUUGGGAGAGUGGCGGUCUAUUUGUAGGGGUUGGAGACCGCCACAAAACACUACAAUUCGCAACAUUUAUUGCGGUUCCAUGGUCAAAUCAGAGCUGCCACGUUCCUUCCCCAUGCAGCCAGACUCACGGGUCCUGUCUUGUUCCCCUGCCACCCUGCCACCCUGCCCCAUAUCACCUGAAUCAUUGUGCCAUCAUUCACCCUGAAAAGUUGGUCUCGCAAUAAAACAUGCGGCUCCCACUCCCCAUCAAUGUGUCCUCCUCGAGUCAAUCAGUCAGCACGUGGCCCUUCCUCCUCGAGUCAGUCAGUCAGCACGUGGCCCUUCCCCAUGCAUCUCAAGUUGGACUCGCAAGAAAACAUGCGGCUCCCACACACGGCCAAAAUCAUAAGGCAAUUAUUUUCCAAUCACCCUGCAACCCAUCAUUCACCCAUCAUUUCCCAAUCAGCUUUUACUUUUUCAGACUCUCAAUUCGCAACAUUAAUUGCGGAACCCAACAAAGUACCCCAUCUUGCUAAAUAUUGUUUUUAGUACCCUUUUUGCUAAUUAAAAAUAUUUUUUGCAUUAUUUAGAAAAAAAAUUCGAUUAGGUGACCCUAUGAUUUCGUAAAAAAUGUGUAAAUUUUUUCAUCCAUAUUUUUGUAUGUAAAAUUAUAACCCUUGUAAUUAUAUACACUUAAUGAUAAGAGUCUUUAAUCGCAA